rnacentral:pre_miRNA from 1 species
GUGAAAUGGAAUCACCGUUUGAACAUGCGAUUUUACGCUGAUUUCAUCUCAUGA